rnacentral:rRNA from 1 species
UCGAGAAUUUUUCACAAUGGGCGCAAGCCUGAUGGAGCGACGCCGCGUGGGGGAUGAAGGGUUUCGACCCGUAAACCCCUGUCAUUUGCGAACAAACCUUGAUUGUGAAUAGCGAUCGAGCUGAUUGUAGCGGAAGAGGAAGGGACGGCUAACUCUGUGCCAGCAGCCGCGGUAAUACAGAGGUCCCAAGCGUUGUUCGGAUUCACUGGGCGUAAAGGGUGCGUAGGUGGUCGGUGAAGUUCGGUGUGAAAGCUCGGAGCUCAACUCGGAAACGGCAUUGAAAACUCAUCGGCUAGAGGGUCGGAGAGGAGACUGGAAUUCUCGGUGUAGCAAUGAAAUGCGUAGAUAUCGAGAGGAACACCGAUGGCGAAGGCGAGUCUCUGGACGACUCCUGACACUGAGGCACGAAAGCCAGGGGAGCAAACAG